UUGUAAUCUCAAGAAGUGUUUUCCGCUUCGGACCAUGCCUAAGUCCCUUGGAAAAGGGCAUCAUAGAGGGUGAUAAUCCCGUACAUGGCAUGGAGCGCCCGAGGCUUUGUGAUACGCUUUCUAAGAGUCGAGUUGUUUGGGAAUGCAGCUCAAAAUGGGUGGUAAAUGCCAUCUAAGGCUAAAUAUUGGGGAGAGACCGAUAGCGAACAAGUACAGUGAUGGAAAGAUGAAAAGAACUUUGAAAGGAGAGUUAAACAGUACGUGAAAUUGCCAAAAGGGAAGGGUAGGAGGUCAGAGAUGCGUCUUGGGAUUCAGCCUUGCUUUUGCUUGGUGUUUUUCCCAAGUUGCAGGCCAACGUCGGUUUUGGGCACUGGAGAAGGGUGGAAGGAACGUGGCACCUCUCGGGGUGUGUUAUAGCCUUCUACUGGAUACAGCGACCGAGACCGAGGACAGCAGCGUACUCACAAGAGCGGGCCUUCGGGCACCUUUACGCUUAGGGCGUUGGCAUAAUGGCCCUCUACCACCCGUCUUGAAACAC
rnacentral:rRNA from 1 species